rnacentral:tRNA from 1 species
CUAAAUUUGUUGUAUUGCAUAUGAAGUUUUCUUUUUCAAGGUAGCCGCAGGGUUAAUUUAGA